rfam:Oryza glaberrima chromosome 11 Oglab11_0045_28, whole genome shotgun sequence.
UCCAACGUUUAAUCAUUCAUCUUAUUUAUUUUUUUAGAUUAGUAUUUUUGUUGUUAUUAGAUGAUAAAAUAUGAAUAACACUUUAUAUGUGACUAAUUUUUUAUUUUUUUAUAAUUCUUUUAAAUAAUACGGACGGUCAAAUAUUAGACACGGAUACC